CAGGGAGACAACACAAUGAUUUUGAUGCCUGAGUGCUUUUAUUCUUAGGCCGAAAUCCUGUCACCUUAGGUCGAUCGGUACCUCAGCUUUGAAGUUAAGAAUCAGCAGCAAUGUUGAUUGCUUGAUGGAGAUUUUCAGUUCCUAAACUUUGUCUAGGUCACACCCCAAAAGGGAUGAGACUCCUGGGCCAUUAGCUCAGGUGGUUAGAGCGCACCCCUGAUAAGGGUGAGGUCCCUGGUUCAAGUCCAGGAUGGCCCAUUCGGUGUUGGGGGUUUAGCUCAGUUGGUAGAGCGCCUGCUUUGCAAGCAGGAUGUCAGGAGUUCGAGUCUCCUAACCUCCACUGACCGAACUUGAUUCCCAUCUCCAAUUUUUUUGGAGUUGAGCUCGAUUGGAGUGUGAUUUAGAUGUGUCCGCUGGAUGACCCCAGCUUCCUGUCAUUCCAAGUUUUAGGUUGAUGCCUUGAAUUUGGUUGAUAAGAUGCUGGGCUCGAAUCAAAUGAUCAAGCAAUUGAUGAUUUGAUUUUAAGUUCUAGCAGAACCUUGACAACUGCAUAGGUGAGUCUGGAAAAAACAAAGCAUCUUACAGAUGCAUUGUUUUGAAUCUGAUCUUCUGAAAGGGAGAUUGGAUCUAGAACAAUGAAAAUUCUUUUGAGCAAGAGCCGAGACUCUUGAACGUUCUUUGAUUGGUGUCGAGCCAAUCAGAGUUUGAUCUUGUUUUUAGCAAUAAAAACUUGAGAAUCUGCUUUCAACGGCGGUAAGCGUUCAGGAGGUUAAUU
rnacentral:tRNA from 1 species